AGUCAAAUUUAGUCGGGCCCAACUCUCAGUAGUGUUUGGAACUGGACUUAUGGACUCAGUAACACGUAAGGCCCCAAAAAACUGGGCCUGAUCCAUUGGGCUAAGGCAACCACCUUGGCGGGAAAACACAAAGUUCCCGCCAUUUCUAACAUUCCUCCCCCGCCUUUUCUCCAUCUACCUUUCGAAACAUCAGAUCACACAACUCUUUCUCGAGAAACAUACAGAGAGUAGAAAGCAAUGCAAUCCGACGAGCAGCCGACAGUGGCGGGCAGGCGCCGGACUCGGGGCGCGGCCGCGACCGCGCGUGCCGAAGCACUCGAGCGUCUGAAGGCACUACGCCGCGGCGGGCGCCGGGAGAUGGAUGAGGGUGGCUUCCAGAUCAAGAUGGAGCAGCCUAUUUACGACACUGUAGAUGAAAAGGAGUAUGAAGCUCUCGUAGCUAAGCGCCGGGAAGAGGUCAAGGGUUUUAUUGUCGACGAUAAUGGACUAGGGUACGGGGAUGAAGGCCAGGAAGAAGACUGGUCGCUCGCUGGCGUCGCUUUGUCCUCUGAAGAAUCCGAUGGGGAAUCUGAGAGGCCGAAAAAGAAGAAAAAUAAUUCUAUUUCGGAUAAGAAGGAGAAGGCAAGUGUGAAAAAACCAUCUGCUUUGGCGUCUGCAGCCGCCUUGAUGGGUAAGCAAAGGAUUUCUAAUAUGUUUACUUCGUCUGUAUUCAAAAAAGACAAACAGACGAAUGUUUCCUGUGAUAGUAUUGUUGAUGAUGUGAUUGCUGAGUUUGCACCCGAUGAAAAUGAUAGGGAGAGGAGAAGGAGAACCAAUUCGAGCAAUUCACAUUUGAAUAAUUUGAAGAAAUUUACGCCACCUACUUUGGGGGUUUUACCUGUUACAAUUGAAAAGCCUGCUAUUAGUAGUGUUAAUUUAGAUGCUAGGGAUAAAAUUAAUGAGAUUAACAGCUGCCAUCCUGAUGUAAAUAGUGAGUCAUGGAGGGGUCAUUCCGAACUGGGUGAAAAUACCAAAAGCGAGGAGAAUACUUUGACUCCCUCAGAAAGAGUAACUAAUUCAUUUGACCAAAUAAAGAUUGAGGAAAUAAAGGAUAAUAGUGAAUCUAUUGAAUUUGAGAAAAAAGAGUGCUCGCUGGAUAUGGGUGAAGUGAAGGAAGUGCAGACAAAGGUGUUUUCUCUCAAUGCAAAAAUUGAGGAUGCAAAAGAUCCAGUUUUAAGUGCAACUAUGGGGUGGCAAGCUGUAAGAAGUGCAGGACAAAGCGUAGUUGCCGACUGUAAUGGAUCCGGACCUGGGGUGAAGCAGAGCACAAGCAGUGAGGAGAAGUUGGAUUUUGAAGUAGAGUCUGAUGGAUCAUUGCUUUUCUACAUACUUGAUGCGCAUGAGGAGAUUCAUGGUGCUAAUGCUGGGAAUCUUUAUCUCUUUGGAAAGGUCAAAUCUGGUGGUACAUACCACAGCUGCUGUGUGGUAGUUAAAAACAUGCAGAGAUGGGUGUAUGCUAUCCCAACGGUUUCUUUCACGCACAAUGACACAAUUACUGAGCUAGAGAAAAAUGUUGAAGAGUCUCGAUUAUCCCUCAUGGCUUCUAAGGACAUGAUUGCAAAGCAAGGGAGAGAUGGUGAAAAGUCCAGAAUGAUAUCCACAGAUCUUAAAGAGACAAUUGCAAAGCUGGAGAAAAAUGUUGAAGAGUCCCAGAAAGCGUUACGGAUUCGACUUCAUGAACUGGCAUCAGACCUGAAGACUGAAAUGACAAAAGAGUUACUGGAUCGAAAUGUUUCAAGUUUCAGCAUGGCACCUGUUAAGAGAAAUUAUGCAUUUGAGAGAUCAGACAUACCUCACGGGGAGAAUUAUGUCCUCAAGAUCAAUUAUCCAUUCAAGGAUCCGCCGCUUCCAUCAGAUCUCAAAGGGAACUGCUUCUGCGCUCUGCUUGGAACUCAUAACAGUGCAAUGGAGCUUUUCCUAAUUAAACGGAAAAUCAAAGGACCAUCAUGGCUAUCAAUCUCAAAAUUCUCCAGCUGCACAGCUUCUCAACGUGUGAGCUGGUGUAAGUUUGAGGUUACCGUUGAUUUCCCAAAAGAUAUUCAAGUUUCAACUUCCUCGAAGAAUAUCUCAGACAUUCCUCCAGUAGUAGUUACGGCAAUAAAUUUGAAAACUAUCAUCAAUGAGAAACAGAAUGUAAAUGAAAUAGUCUCUGCAUCUGUCAUUUGCUGCCAUAGGGCCAAGAUAGAUGCUCCCAUGGUGGCCUCAGAAUGGACUCGUCCAGGUAUGCUUAGUCAUUUUACUGUCAUCCGUAAACUUGAGGGAGGCAUAUUUCCAAUGGGCUUUACGAAGGAGACAGCUGACAAAAAUGCAAAGGCAGGUUCAAAUGUUAUUUGCUAUGAAACCAGUGAAAGGGCUUUGUUGAAUCGUUUGAUGACUGAGUUGCACAAAUUGGAUAGUGAUGUACUAGUUGGACAUAAUAUAUCUGGGUUUGACCUUGAUGUCCUUCUUCACAGAGUCCAGGUUUGCAGAGUGCCCAGCAGCAUGUGGUCAAAAAUAGGCCGUUUGAAGCGGUCUACCAUGCCCAAACUUAAUAAAGGGAGUUCAGUGUUUGGUUCGGGAGCAAGUUCAGGAAUCAUGUCCUGCAUUGCUGGCCGUCUUUUAUGUGAUACUUAUAUUUGUUCGCGUGACCUAUUAAAGGAGGUUAGCUAUUCCUUGACACAACUAGCAAAGACACAACUGAAUAAAGACCGCAAGGAGAUCACUCCACAUGAUAUUCCUCAAAUGUUUCAAAGUUCUGAAUCACUUAUGGAACUUGUUGAGUAUGGCGAAACAGAUGCAUGGUUGUCAAUGGAACUCAUGUUCCAUCUGAGUGUUCUUCCUCUCACACGUCAACUGACUAAUAUUAGUGGCAAUCUUUGGCAUAAAACUCUCCAGGGUGCUAGGGCUCAAAGAGUGGAAUAUCUCUUGUUACAUGCAUUCCAUGCCAAGAAGUUUAUUGUUCCAGACAAGUUUUCUUCUCAAUCCAAGGAGACAUUGACGGCAAAGCGAAAAGUUAGUAGUGGUGUUGAGAGCAAAGAAAUUGAACCUGAAGGUACAAAUCUUGAUGAUGAGACUCCAGAAAAUUAUCAUGGGAAAACCAAAAAGGGACCUUCAUAUUCUGGUGGGCUGGUGCUGGAGCCAAAGAAAGGACUAUAUGACAAGUAUAUAUUACUUUUGGAUUUCAACAGUCUUUACCCUUCCAUUAUUCAGGAAUACAAUAUUUGUUUUACUACUGUGGAGAGAUCUACUGAUGGGUCAGCUCCACGUUUACCAUCUACUAAAAGGACUGGAGUUCUACCGGAGUUGCUUAAGAAUUUGGUGGAGAGAAGGAGAAUGGUAAAAUCAUGGUUAAAAACAGCAACUGGUCUCAAAGUCCAGCAGCUCGACAUACAGCAACAAGCUCUGAAGCUGACAGCAAAUAGCAUGUAUGGAUGCCUGGGAUUCUCCAAUUCAAGAUUUUACGCAAAGCCCCUGGCAGAACUUAUAACACUACAGGGACGGGAAAUUUUACAGAGCACUGUCAAUCUCGUUCAAAAUGUGUUAAACUUAGAGGUCAUUUAUGGUGAUACUGAUUCAAUAAUGAUAUACAGUGGACUUGAUGAUAUUGGAAAAGCUAAAUUAAUAGCUGGGAAGGUCAUUCAGGAGGUUAACAAGAAAUAUAGGUGUCUGGAGAUUGACCUAGAUGGCUUGUAUAAAAGAAUGCUAUUGCUCAAGAAGAAGAAAUAUGCCGCUGUCAAAAUGCAUUUUAAGGACGGUACAUCUUAUGAGGUUAUUGAGCGGAAAGGUCUUGAUAUGGUUAGGCGUGACUGGAGCUUGCUGUCAAAGGAACUGGGAGAUUUCUGCCUCAGUCAAAUAUUAUCUGGCGGGUCCUGCGAGGAUGUUGUUGAAGCAAUACACAAUUCUCUCAUGAAGGUACAAGAGGAAAUGAGGAAUGGGCAAAUACCGCUGGAAAAAUAUGUGAUCACGAAGACACUAACUAAACCACCUGAAGCAUAUCCUGAUGCUAGAAAUCAGCCUCAUGUAGAAGUAGCACUUAGGAUGAAGAGGAGCGGUUAUGUGACCGGUUGUUCUGCAGGAGACACAGUACCUUAUGUCAUUUGCUGUGAGCAGGGAAAUGGUUCAACUUCCUCUGUGGGAAUUGCUCAGCGGGCAAGACAUCCUGAUGAACUGAAAAGAGACAACGGAAACUGGAUGGUUGACAUUGACUAUUACCUAGCACAGCAGAUUCAUCCUGUCAUAUCACGUCUAUGUGCAUCAAUUCAGGGUACAAGUCCAUCACGUUUGGCUGACUGUUUGGGGCUUGACUCAUCAAAGUUCCAGAACAAAUCAAUUGAUUCUGUCAGCAACGAUCCAUCCAGCUUGCUGUCAUUUGCAUUAGAUGAUGAAGAGAGAUAUCGCGGUUGUGAAGCUUUGACUUUGUCAUGCCCCAGCUGCUCGGGCACCUUUGAAUGCUCGCCUAUAUUGAGCUCAGUAUGUGCAUUCAUCAAUACAAAGCCAGCAGACAUGCAAGCUGGAUCAACUACUAAUUUCUGGCAAAAUUUGUGCUGUCCGAAAUGCCCAGAGGAAGGAGAUGGGGGGAGAAUAUCUCCUGCCAUUAUAGCUAACCAGGUAAAAAGACAAGCCGAAGGAUUUGUAUCAACAUAUUACAAAGGCCUCAUGAUGUGUGAUGAUGAAACUUGCAAUUAUGUUACCCGUAGUGUGAAUCUUCGAGUACUUGGGGAUUCCGAGAGAGGAACUACUUGUCCAAAUUAUCCCCGCUGCAAUGGACAUCUUAUGAGAAAGUACACGGAAGCAGAUCUGUACAGGCAGCUCUCAUAUUUCUGCUACAGUCUAGACACUGUUCGAUGCAUUGACAAGAUCGAAGGUGAUAGCAGAAUGCCAGUAGAAAAGGAACUAGCUAAAAUCCGGCCUCUGGUUGAGAUGGCAGCAUCAACUGUGCAGAAAAUUCGCGAUAGAUGUGCUUAUGGGUGGGUUAAGUUGGAAGACUUAAUUGUCUUGGUCUAACUCAACCGUGGUAUUUUGUACAGAAUCUAUUUGAGAUCAUAUUUCACAUACCAACUCAAAAGGUAUAUGCGACGUACCAUGCUCGUCAAGUUUAAAUUCCAAUAGAAGAAGACAAAGGUUGAGAACUUUUGAUUUACACACCAAAACAAGCCCAAAAAAAAAAAAAACGAACCAUAUUCCUGCAUAAAUGGAUUCUACAAAUUAUUCUCAGUCAAAGUUGGAGCAAUAAGAGAACAAAUAAGAUGUACAUAUGCGUUUCUCAUAAAUGACUGAAAGAAAAGGAAAACCUUUUUGCUCGGUUGUAAA